ensembl:lncRNA
UAUGUUCUAUGUUAAGUAUUAUUAUUAUGUAUCACAUCCGACAUCCGACCGUGAUUGGGAGUCCCAUAGGACGCCUCACAAGUGUCCCAGCGUUUCUCUCCCUCUAAAAACAGAAAUACAUUUGUGGCCUUUAAAACACAUUAUUUUGGCCUUUAUUCAGAUUACAAUCGCUCACUUUCAUUUAAAAAAAAAAAUUAAAUAACCUCAUAUAAAAUUAUAGUGUAGAAAUGUUAUGCUCUUUUUGUAACCUUUAUGUAACUAGCCAACUCAGUUAAGAACAAAUUCUUAUGUUACAAGGACAGCCUACUCCUUCCUCGCCGUGGGGAAUUGAACCCCGGUUCUUUUGCUCAACGGACCGAAACAGUUUCCAAUGCAUUGUCAACGGAGUUUGUAAACCAACCCAGAUGUAAUAUAAUUCUAGCCACAUGUUGACUCAGUGGCGCUUCUCCAUGCAGGACAUGAGAGGGGGAGGGACUCACACUCUGUACACAGGAAUAGGUUCAUCACUGGUCACUGAGCUGGCAAGCUAAUGUUAGGUAGUUAGUCAUAGAAAUGUACGUUCAGCCUGUGAAUUAUUUCAGUCCGAUUUGACUUAUAUUAAGAAGUCAGCAUUGCUUAACAGUUUCUUUCGUUUUUGACCUCGACAUUGUUGCUGGAUAGAUACUUUCAUAUCUAACAUGCUGGUGAUGCUAGCCAGCUAACCUCAUAUCUGGAUGCCUCACUCUAGUUCCCGAUAGAGCAGCAUACUGGCCCUCCAUUCCCAAACUUGAAGCCCCCUGUCGCCAACUGGAAAGAACAGGAAAAAGUAGUGGCUUAAGAUCUGCCAACCUGCUCGGUGGGUGACAGGUAACCGUCUUUCCACCAAGCUGUUCCAGGCCUGGAGUGGAACUUCCAUAGGCUUGUAGACCUGAAGUGGUGUGAUGUUUGUCCAGAUCUGACACGCCUAUUAGCUCAACCACAGUCUUCACAGCUGCAGUCGUCUGCAUCUAAUACACCGGCCACGACAGGUGACACAGAUCUGCUGUAGUAUUUACUGCUGUCCACUGCUGUAGUAUUUAAUUUACCGGCUGCACCAGUUUCUACUCCACUGGCCGUGAAGGGAGAAACUUUUGAGGAUUCCCAGAUGGAUACAGAUCUGCCAUGCACUCCACCACUGCCUGACAACCUCACCCAGAAGUGCAUACACUGGGCCUUUCAAGACUGACAAAGCAGAGAUGGGUGGCUGACAAGGAAAAAUAAAACAACACGCGCACACACACACUCACACACACACUUUAUCCACAAUGUAAAUAAGUUGUAAUUGCUUGCUUAUUUAAUGAUUGCUCCAUUUUAUUUUAGGAUUGGAGAUAUCUACUCCUAUAUAUCCAUUAUCAAUGUCUGCAUAAUUACUCUAAAUAUCUAUCAAAUCAAAGUGGGAUUGAUAAUAUUAUAAAAGACUGUGUACAGUUUUAGGAAAUUCUGUGUACAUUUUUCUGAGUUGAAAAACACGCCUCCCUCUCACACACACACACUACACCCAAUGUAAAUAAAUUGCAAUAACUUGUUUAAUGUAUGUAUGCUCCACUUUAUUUUAGGAAAAUAUCUGUAAUAAAGUACAUUCACA